AAUUGACGGGGCCCGCACAAGCGGUGGAGCAUUGUGGUUUAAUUCGAAGCAACGCGAAGAACCUUACCAGGUCUUGACAUCCCGAUGCUAUUUCUAGAGAUAGAAAGUUACUUCGGUACAUCGGUGACAGGUGGUGCAUGGUUGUCGUCAGCUCGUGUCGUGAGAUGUUGGGUUAAGUCCCGCAACGAGCGCAACCCCUAUUGUUAGUUGCCAUCAUUCAGUUGGGCACUCUAGCGAGACUGCCGGUAAUAAACCGGAGGAAGGUGGGAUGACGUCAAAUCAUCAUGCCCCUUAUGACCUGGGCUACACACGUGCUACAAUGGUUGGUACAACGAGUUGCGAGUCGGUGACGGCGAGCUAAUCUCUUAAAGCCAAUCUCAGUUCGGAUUGUAGGCUGCAACUCGCCUACAUGAAGUCGGAAUCGCUAGUAAUCGCGGAUCAGCACGCCGCGGUGAAUACGUUCCCGGGCCUU
rnacentral:rRNA from 1 species